rnacentral:lncRNA from 1 species
CUUUAAAACAAAAGACUUGAGAAAUCAAAAACAGAUCCUUAUUUUACUUACACCCACGGCUUGAUUGUCCCUUUCCUGCCCCUAAAGGAAAAUUAUUACCCACGGCUUAAAAAUGUCUUUUACGACAAGAAGAGACUUUACUACUAACCCACGGCUUGAGAAGGAUCUGUUUUUGAUUAUUUGGAUGGAAUGGAUUAUAACGACCAAAAAGUCUUUAAAACAAAAGACUUGAGAAAUCAAAAACAGAUCCUUAUUUUACUUACACCCACGGCUUGAUUGUCCCUUUCCUGCCCCUAAAGGAAAAUUAUUACCCACGGCUUAAAAAUGUCUUUUACGACAAGAAGAGACUUUACUACUAACCCACGGCUUGAGAAGGAUCUGUUUUUGAUUAUUUGGAUGGAAUGGAUUAUAACGACCAAAAAGUCUUUAAGACAAAAGACUUGAGAAAUCAAAAACAGAUCCUUAUUUUACUUACACCCACGGCUUAAAAGUCUUUACUACCCACGGCUUACAAGUCUAUAGACAAAGACUUCAUAUCAAAAACAACAGAUCCUUAUUUCACUACCCACGGCUUACACAUAUGUCUUUAGAC